rnacentral:misc_RNA from 1 species
GGGGGGAUUCCAUGUUGAGGGUAGUCAAAACCAAUGGUUUACAGAGACAUAUUUUCGUCAAUGGUUACUAUAUGUAUCAUUGCAGAAAACAGGCUUAGGUAUAUUUUAGUGAAUAAAAUGUCAAAAUAAAAUAAGCCAUUUAUCAGAACCAAAAUGAUUUCAGAAUUUUGGUUGGUAGUUCUUUUUGUAAGAUGAUCCGGAUCCAUUUUUUUCCUCUCAGUAUUGGAGAUUAAACCUAUGUGAACGUUUUAAUUUUUAAAAGUGUCACUUUGUUUUCAUUUGUGUAGUUUUUGAAAGGUUGUAGUAUUUUAUAACAGGGAGAUUUCACCCAUAUAUUUUAGCUUUAUGUGUACAGAUUGCAAUUAUUAUUGUUUGUGUCAACAAAGUGUUAAAAGAUUCGCAAACAAAUGCACCUAUCUAAUGCUUGUCAAUAACCAGUACAUGCACUUAGAUAUUACGCAGUAUACGAACAAAGAAUUACUGUUUUGAUUAAUAUAACAUCAUAUAUCCGUCAGCAAUGAAAUUCUAAUGUAGGUAAUGUAAACGUUUCACAAUUGACUGGUCUUUCAUCUUUUGUCUGUACAAAUACACAUAGUUUAUCAAAACUUAAGUUUUAUUUGUUGUCUUAAGCUCUAUAUUAAAGGUGUGGUCCUCUAUUUCUGUUUAUAAUGAUAAACAUCAUUUGUAGGUAAAACUGCUUUAUAGAUAUACUAAAUAUAUACUGUAUUUCAAACCAAAGCAAAGAAAUCAGAUUUAUAUUUUGUCACUAUUGGCUUUGCAACAGAUAAAGAAAUAAUGUCCAUAUGCAUACAUUGAGUGUAUACAACAGUUAUGACCUUAAAUUUCCUGGUCUGCCAGAGCAGAAUUAAUAUUAUUUCUUGUUACUUCUGCAUGAUUAUGUAUUGCAACAAACAUGCCUACAUUCCAUACAGUUAAAGUUAUGAAGAUGUACUUUAAAAAUACUCAUAUAUGUUGUGUUAAGAAUAUCAUUUUGUUUAGACAUUUGUUUCAUUGCAUUCUUGCAGUGUUGUAAGUUGUCAUGUUUGAAACAAGUGAUACGAAGAUUUUAUUUAAUUUUGGUACACAGUUGUAACAGUGUUUAAAAGACAGUAAAACUUAAUCUGUAACUUCUAAAGGUACAUGUACUUAUAUAUUUCAACUGUUUGUAACUAAUGUUGUAUUGAAAUUGCUAGAGUUAGCCCCCUUGUUGGUGGGGUUUUGUACCUUAAUUGCCAGCCUUUUGCCAUCUGGUUAACUUUGAUGGCAGUUGGCAGUGUUAAAUCCAGUGCAUGAAGUGCUAUUUUACAAUGUGUAGUUUGUUGAUCUGAAUUAUGUAUAAAUGUAUAUUACAUUUUUAUGCAAAAUUAAAUGAAUUGACUU